GAUGAAGAACGUAGCGAAAUGCGAUAAGUAAUGUGAAUUGCAGAAUUCAGUGAAUCAUCGAAUCUUUGAACGCACAUUGCGCCCGCCAGUAUUCUGGCGGGCAUGCCUGUUCGAGCGUCAUUACAACCCUCAGGCCCCCGGGCCUGGCGUUGGGGAUCGGCGGAGCCCCCCGUGGGCACACGCCGUCCCCCAAAUACAGUGGCGGUCCCGCCGCAGCUUCCAUCGCGUAGUAGCUAACACCUCGCGACUGGAGAGCGGCGCGGCCACGCCGUAAAACACCCAACUCUUCUGAAGUUGACCUCGAAUCAGGUAGGAAUACCCGCUGAACUUAAGCAUAUCAAUAAGCGGGGA
rnacentral:misc_RNA from 1 species